GUGGGGAAUAUUGGACAAUGGGGGGAACCCUGAUCCAGCCAUGCCGCGUGUGUGAAGAAGGCCUUUUGGUUGUAAAGCACUUUAAGCGAGGAGGAGGCUACCGAGAUUAAUACUCUUGGAUAGUGGACGUUACUCGCAGAAUAAGCACCGGCUAACUCUGUGCCAGCAGCCGCGGUAAUACAGAGGGUGCAAGCGUUAAUCGGAUUUACUGGGCGUAAAGCGCGCGUAGGUGGCCAAUUAAGUCAAAUGUGAAAUCCCCGAGCUUAACUUGGGAAUUGCAUUCGAUACUGGUUGGCUAGAGUAUGGGAGAGGAUGGUAGAAUUCCAGGUGUAGCGGUGAAAUGCGUAGAGAUCUGGAGGAAUACCGAUGGCGAAGGCAGCCACCUGGCCUAAUACUGACACUGAGGUGCGAAAGCAUGGGGAGCAAACAGGAUUAGAUACCCGUGUAGUCC
rnacentral:rRNA from 1 species